GACGAACCGAGCGAACGUUGUUCGGAAUCACUGGGCUUAAAGGGCGCGUAGGCGGGCUGUCAAGUCUGGGGUGAAAUCCCGCGGCUCAACCGCGGAACUGCCUCAGAUACUGACGGUCUCGAGGGAGGUAGGGGCGAGCGGAACUUCCGGUGGAGCGGUGAAAUGCGUAGAUAUCGGAAGGAACGCCGGUGGCGAAAGCGGCGUGCUGGACCUCUGCUGACGCUGAGGCGCGAAAGCCAGGGGAGCGAACGGG
rnacentral:rRNA from 1 species